GGACAUAUGGCGCAAUGGCAACGCAUUUGACUACGAAUCAAGAGAUUCCAGGGUAUGUUCUGCAGCAAACAAUCCCGUCAAGCAAACAAACAGCUAACAUCAUAACAGUUCGACCCUGGUAUGUUCA